rnacentral:rRNA from 1 species
AGGACGAACGCUGGCGGCGUGCUUAACACAUGCAAGUCGAACGGAAAGGCCCUUCGGGGUACUCGAGUGGCGAACGGGUGAGUAACACGUGGGUGAUCUGCCCCGCACUUUGGGAUAAGCCUGGGAAACUGGGUCUAAUACCGAAUAGGACCAUGGGAUGCAUGUCCUGUGGUGGAAAGCUUUUGCGGUGUGGGAUGGGCCCGCGGCCUAUCAGCUUGUUGGUGGGGUUAAGGCCUACCAAGGCGACGACGGGUAGCCGGCCUGAGAGGGUGUCCGGCCACACUGGGACUGAGAUACGGCCCAGACUCCUACGGGAGGCAGCAGUGGGGAAUAUUGCACAAUGGGCGCAAGCCUGAUGCAGCGACGCCGCGUGGGGGAUGACGGCCUUCGGUUGUAACCUCUUUCAGUAGGACGAAGCGCAAGUGACGGUACCUACAGAAGAAGCACCGGCCAACUACGCGCCAGCAGCCGC